CAAUAGCGUAUAUUUAAGUUGUUGCAGUUAAAAAGCUCGUAGUUGGAUUUCUGACAGGAGCGACCGGUCCGAUCAUUUGGUCGUGUACUUUGUGUUGUCUCUAGUCAUCCUUAUGGAGAACGCUUGUGGCAUUAAGUUGUCGCGAGUGGGAACCAUAUCGUUUACUGUGAAAAAAUUAGAGUGUUUAAAGCAGGCAAUUGCUGUGAAUACGUUAGCAUGGAAUAAUAAGAUAGGACUUUGGUACUAUUUUGUUGGUUUACAUACCAAGGUAAUGAUUAAGAGGGACAGUUGGGGGUAUUCGUAUUUAAUUGUCAGAGGUGAAAUUCUUGGAUUUAUGAAAGACGAACUACUGCGAAAGCAUUUACCAAGGAUGUUUUCAUUAA
rnacentral:rRNA from 1 species